CCGAGUUAGGGUCUUAUAGGCCCGACCUCCAACCCUUUGCUUACUCUACCGUGUUGCUUUGGCAGGCCCGCCUUUCGGGGCCACUGGGGGCUUUCAUACCCUUGGUCAGUGCCUGCCAUUAGCCUUAUUAAAUUCUUUUAUAAUUAUGUUGUCUGAGUAUAAAUUUAAAUCGUUA
rnacentral:misc_RNA from 1 species